GUGAAUCAUCGAAUUUUUGAACGCAAAUUGCACUCCCUGGUAUUCCGGAGAGUGUGCCUGUUUGAGGGUCAGUUUAAAUAAAAAUCGGUGUGGUUGCUGCCUUAAGUGGUGACGCACCGGACUUGGGUCGUAUUGGCUUGGGUUAAGUUACCCUAAACUUUGCAUGAUUUUUUUCGAAAGUAUUUAAGUGAUGUUAAGUACGUUUGAGAAAUCGAAUACUAGGUGUGGUCAUCGUCAUGAUUCGAGUCUAUACUUUUUUAUAAAAAUGACCUCAAA
rnacentral:misc_RNA from 1 species